rnacentral:rRNA from 2 species
UAACAUCUGAUACGAUUUUAGAGCCUGGCUCAGAGAGCUUGCUCUCUGGGUGGUGAGUGGCGGACGGGUGAGGAAUACAUCGGAAUCUACUCUGUCGUGGGGGAUAACGUAGGGAAACUUACGCUAAUACCGCAUACGACCUACGGGUGAAAGCAGGGGACCUUCGGGCCUUGCGCGAUUGAAUGAGCCGAUGUCGGAUUAGCUAGUUGGCGGGGUAAAGGCCCACCAAGGCGACGAUCCGUAGCUGGUCUGAGAGGAUGAUCAGCCACACUGGAACUGAGACACGGUCCAGACUCCUACGGGAGGCAGCAGUGGGGAAUAUUGGACAAUGGGCGCAAGCCUGAUCCAGCCAUACCGCGUGGGUGAAGAAGGCCUUCGGGUUGUAAAGCCCUUUUGUUGGGAAAGAAAUCCAGCUGGCUAAUACCCGGUUGGGAUGACGGUACCCAAAGAAUAAGCACCGGCUAACUUCGUGCCAGCAGCCGCGGUAAUACGAAGGGUGCAAGCGUUACUCGGAAUUACUGGGCGUAAAGCGUGCGUAUGUGGGCCUUUAGUCCGUUGUGAGAGCCCUGUGCGCUCCCUGGGAAAAAGGUUGUAUACUGGGGACUAGAGUGUGUGGGAGGGUGGGGGGAAAA